rnacentral:rRNA from 1 species
GCUGCCUUCUGUACCCCCCAUUGUAACACGUGUGUAGCCCCGGACGUAAGGGCCGUGCUGAUUUGACGUCAUCCCCACCUUCCUCACAUCUUACGACGGCAGUCUCUCUAGAGUCCUCAGCAUGACCUGUUAGUAACUAAAGAUAAGGGUUGCGCUCGUUAUGGCACUUAAGCCGACACCUCACGGCACGAGCUGACGACAACCAUGCAGCACCUUCACAAAUGCCUUACGGCUAACCAAUUUCUUGAUUAUUCAUUUGCAAUUUAAGCCCGGGUAAGGUUCCUCGCGUAUCAUCGAAUUAAACCACAUGUUCCUCCGCUUGUGCGGGCCCCCGUCAAUUCCUUUGAGUUUCACCGUUGCCGGCGUACUCCCCAGGUGGAAUACUUAAUGCUUUCGCUUGGCCGCUUACUGUAUAUCGCAAACAGCGAGUAUUCAUCGUUUACUGUGUGGACUACCAGGGUAUCUAAUCCUGUUUGAUACCCACACUUUCGAGCAUCAGUGUCAGUAACAGUCUAGUGAGCUGCCUUCGCAAUCGGAGUUCUUCGUGAUAUCUAAGCAUUUCACCGCUACACCACGAAUUCCGCCCACCUCUACUGUACUCAAGACUGCCAGUUUCAACUGCAAUUUUACGGUUGAGCCGCAAACUUUCACAACUGACUUAACAAUCCACCUACGCUCCCUUUAAACCCAAUAAAUCCGGAUAACGCUCGGAUCCUCCGUAUUACCGCGGCUGCUGGCACGGAGUUAGCCGAUCCUUAUUCAUAUGGUACAUACAAAAUUCCACACGUGGAAAACUUUAUUCCCAUAUAAAAGAAGUUUACGACCCAUAGAGCCUUCAUCCUUCACGCUACUUGGCUGGUUCAGGCCUGCGCCCAUUGACCAAUAUUCCUCACUGCUGCCUCCCGUAGGAGUUUGGACCGUGUCUCAGUUCCAAUGUGGGGGACCUUCCUCUCAGAACCCCUAUCCAUCGUAGUCUUGGUGGGCCGUUACCCCGCCAACAAACUAAUGGAACGCAUCCCCAUCGAUAACCGAAAUUCUUUAAUAAAAAUAUCAUGCGAUAUUCGUAUACUAUCCGGUAUUAAUCUUUCUUUCGAAAGGCUAUUCCGG